GGGUUUACUGAGUUUACUGUACAAGUUUUGAGUAUUCAAAGAUGGCGACUGUUUUGCCGCUUUGAUUGUAAAGCUUUUCAUUCUUCAUGCAGGCAGUGAUGGAGUGGAAUGCUAUAGCUGUGGAGCGACAUCAGUUGGCCUGUGCUUUACAAAAACUACCUGUAACUUUCUGGAGGUGUGCUAUACAGCAAACUCUGGGUCUAUAAUAACCAGCAAAGGAUGCUUGGCACUCACUAGUUGUGAGCAGUCUGCACAGGAAACGCUUCUGGGAAUCCCAUAUACAGUUGUAAAGCACUGCUGCCCUGGAAGUCUCUGCAAUGGUGGAAUUACCAUCCAGAUGUCCCUUUUGACUGGCUUCGCAAUGCUGCUUGCAUGGAUACUCCACAUAUGAAAUAAUAACAUCCUUUGCAAGAAUAAUCAAUAAAUCUAUAAAGAAAACUAAUGAUUUUAAUUUGUAUAUAACCAGAACUUUAUCAUGCUGCUUGGUCUUAAGAGCUUGAUCUAGCUUUGUUAAAGGUUUCCAUUUGUUAACUUCAUACGAUAUUGGUGUUAUCUGCAACUUUUUCUUUUUUUUUUGUCUCAAAGGGUCUUGCACUAAAUACUGCAUGGCAACUAACCAGAGCUUGUUGCAUCUAGCUUUUCUAAAACAAAAACUAUGUACUGAGUUGGGUCUGUUUGCAUCCCAUGUUGACUCAUUUCUGACAAAACUAAUUGAAAAUAAAGAUAUGUCAAUAUGUA